GUGGGGAAUCUUCCGCAAUGGACGAAAGUCUGACGGAGCAACGCCGCGUGAGUGAAGAAGGUUUUCGGAUCGUAAAGCUCUUUCGUUAGGGACGAACGUGCUCUUUGUGAAUAAUGAGGAGUAAUGACGGUACCUAAAUGAGAAGCCACGGCUAACUACGUGCCAGCAGCCGCGGUAAUACGUAGGUGGCAAGCGUUGUCCGGAAUUAUUGGGCGUAAAGCGCGCGCAGGCGGGAUAUCAAGUCUGUCUUAAAAGUGCGAGGCUCAACCUCGUGAGGGGACAGAAACUGGUAUUCUUGAGUGUCGGAGAGGAAAGUGGAAUUCCAAGUGUAGCGGUGAAAUGCGUAGAGAUUUGGAAGAACACCAGUGGCGAAGGCGACUUUCUGGACGAUGUCUGACGCUGAGGCGCGAAAGCUAGGGGAGCGAACGGGAUUAGAUACCCUAGUAGUCC
rnacentral:rRNA from 1 species